AGCUCUGAGGUGUUUUACAUAUUAGAUUGCAAAUCUAAAGAAGCAGGCUAAUUCCCUGCCGGGGCUU
rnacentral:tRNA from 1 species